rnacentral:ncRNA from 1 species
UGUCCGCAAUGACGUAAAACUAUGUAAGCAAGUGGAGGCAACCCACGUAAAAACAAGCGUA